rnacentral:rRNA from 1 species
UACGACUACAUAUCAGGCAUAUCAAUAAGCGGAGGAAAAGAAACUAACAAGGAUUCCCUUAGUAACGGCGAGUGAAGCGGGAAGAGCUCAAAUUUGAAAUCUUCAAGGUUUUACCUUGACGAAUUGUAGUUUAAAGAAGUGUUUUCUGUUGAAGUUUUGGUAAAAGUUCUUUGGAAUAGGACAUCAUAGAGGGUGAGAAUCCCGUAUUUGACCAUUAUUUUCAGCUGUGUGAUACACUUUCAAAGAGUCGGAUUGUUUGGGAAUGCAGUCCAAAAUGGGUGGUAAAUUUCAUCUAAAGCUAAAUAUUGGCGAGAGACCGAUAGCGAACAAGUACCGUGAGGGAAAGAUGAAAAGAACUUUGAAAAGAGAGUUAAACAGUACGUGAAAUUGUCAAAAGGGAAGCGUUUGACACCAGUGUUGUUUUCUCGAAAAUCAAUUAAAAAAAGUUGGAUUUUGUGUUGUAUUGACCUUAACAGCUUGCUUCACUCUUUUCCAGCUUUUUUUAAUGCACUUUUCGUUUAACAAGUCAACAUCAGUUUCUUUUGUUGUAAAAGGGUCAUUGGAAGGUGGCUUUCUUUCGGAGAAAGUGUUUAUAGCCUUUGCUCUCUGCAAUCGGAGAGAUUGAGGUCUGCAGCGUAGAUCCUUCGGGGUUAGAUACAUUUGUGCUAAGCUACAGCUUUUCAUAGACAACUUGUUGACUAUGUUUAGUCUUGUGACUUACCCGCUUAUGCUAUUUUACCUACGCUUAGGAUGUUGAGCGCAUGUCUCUCUCU